UACGUAGGGGGCAAGCGUUGUCCGGAUUUAUUGGGCGUAAAGAGCGUGUAGGCGGCCAGACAGGUCCGUUGUGAAAACUCGAGGCUCAACCUCGAGAUGUCGAUGGAAACCGUCUGGCUAGAGUCCGGAAGAGGAGUGUGGAAUUCCUGGUGUAGCGGUGAAAUUCGUAGAUAUUGGGAAGAACACCAGUGGCGAAGGCGGCUAACUGGUCCGAUACUGACGCUGAGGUGCGAAAGCGUGGGGAGCAAACAGG
rnacentral:rRNA from 1 species